GAGUCUUUGAACGCAAGUUGCGCCCGAUGCCCUAGGUUGAGGGCACGCCUGCCUGGGUGUCACACGUCGUUACCCUUUUGCCUGUGCAAAGUCAGAAGAUGUUUGCCGAAUGGAGAAGUAGGUGCAAGUUGGCUUCCCAUGAAUGCAUUGUCUUGUGGUUGNCUGAAAAUUGAUUUUGUGGUUGAGCUUCACGAUAAAAUGGUGGAUGAGUAUUUGCUCGAACCAGUUGUGCGCNUUGAACCUGUGUUUGACUCGUGACCCACCCACAAACACGUCCAUGGACGUUUAUAGCNANACCUCAGGUCAUG
rnacentral:rRNA from 1 species